GAUGAAGAACGUAGCGAAAUGCGAUACUUGGUGUGAAUUGCAGAAUCCCGUGAACCAUCGAGUCUUUGAACGCAAGUUGCGCCCGAAGCCAUUAGGCCGAGGGCACGCCUGCCUGGGCGUCACACGUCGUUGCCCCCCCAUCUACUCCUUCGGGAUUGCGGGGGGCGGAUGAUGGCCUCCCGUGCGCCUCGUCGCGCGGUUGGCAUAAAUGCCAAGUCCUCGGCGACGCACGCCACGACAAUCGGUGGUUGCGAAACCUCGGUUGCCCGUCGUGUGCGGUCGUCGCGCAUCGAGGGCUCGAAAAAAUUGUCGGGCUCCGGCUCGGCUUUCAACGCGACCCCAGGUCAGGCGGGGUUACCCGCUGAAUUUAAGCAUAUCAAUAAGCGGAUGA
rnacentral:misc_RNA from 1 species